UACGGAGGGUGCAAGCGUUAGUCGGAAUUACUGGGCGUAAAGCGCACGCAGGCGGUCAAUUAAGUCAGAGGUGAAAGCCCCGAGCUUAACUUGGGAAUUGCAUCUGAAACUGGUUGGCUAGAGUCUUGUAGAGGGGAGUAGAAUUCCAAGUGUAGCGGUGAAAUGCGUAGAGAUGAGGAGGAAUACCAGUGGCGAAGGCGGCUCCCUGGGCCAAGACUGACGCUCAGGUGCGAAAGCGUGGGGAGCAAACAGG
rnacentral:rRNA from 1 species